GACGAACGCUGGCGGCAUGCCUAAUACAUGCAAGUCGAGCGAACAGAUGAAGUGCUUGCACUUCUGACGUUAGCGGCGAACGGGUGAGUAACACGUACGGAACCUACCUAUAAGCGGGGGAUAACAUUCGGAAACGGGUGCUAAUACCGCAUAAUAUCUUCUUCCGCAUGGAAGAAGAUUGAAAGACGGCUCUGCUGUCACUUAUAGAUGACCUUGCGGUGCAUAAGUUAGUUGGUGGGGUAACGGCCUACCAAGGCGAUGAUGCAUAGCCGACCUGAGAGGGUGAUCGGCCAGAUUGGGACUGAGACACGGCCCAAACUCCUACGGGAGGCAGCAGUAGGGAAUCUUCCGGAAUGGGCGAAAGCCUGACGGAGCAAUGCCGCGUGAGUGAAGAAGGCCUUCGGGUCGUAAAACUCUGUUAUAAGAGAAGAAGAAAUUGUAGAGUAACUGCUACAGUCUUGACGGUAUCUUAUCAGAAAGCCACGGCUAACUACGUGCCAGCAGCCGCCGUAA
rnacentral:rRNA from 1 species